GCUGCUAUAGCUUAAUGGUUAAAGCUUCUGUCUUCCAAACAGACUAUGAGGGUUCGAUUCCCUCUAGCGGCUCCA
rnacentral:tRNA from 1 species